rnacentral:rRNA from 1 species
UACAGAGGGUGCGAGCGUUAAUCGGAAUUACUGGGCGUAAAGCGUGCGUAGACGGUAGCGUAAGUCAGAUGUGAAAGCCCCGGGCUCAACCUGGGAAUUGCAUUUGAGACUGCUCUUCUCGGGUGCGGAAGAGGGAAGCGGAAUUUCCGGUGUAGCGGUGAAAUGCGUAGAUAUCGGAAGGAACACCAGUGGCGAAAGCGGCUUCCUGGUCCGACACCGACGUUCAGGCACGAAAGCGUGGGGAGCAAACAGG